GUCAGUUACAGACAGACAGGUUGUGUAGUCUAGGACAGGUCAGUUACAGACAGACAGGUUGUGUAGUCUAGGACAGGUCAGUUACAGACAGACAGGUUGUGUAGUCUGGGACAGGUCAGUUACAGACAGACAGGUUGUGUAGUCUAGGACAGGUCAGUUACAGACAGACAGGUUGUGUAGUCUAGGACUGGUCAGUUACAGACAGACAGGUUGUGUA